GAUGAACGCUGGCGGCGUGCCUAAUACAUGCAAGUCGAGCGAACAGACGAGGAGCUUGCUCCUCUGACGUUAGCGGCGGACGGGUGAGUAACACGUGGAUAACCUACCUAUAAGACUGGGAUAACUUCGGGAAACCGGAGCUAAUACCGGAUAAUAUAUUGAACCGCAUGGUUCAAUAGUGAAAGACGGUUUUGCUGUCUCUUAUAGAUGGAUCCGCGCCGCAUUAGCUAGUUGGUAAGGUGACGGCCUACCAAGGCAACGAUGCGUAGCCGACCUGAGAGGGUGAUCGGCCACACUGGAACUGAGACACGGUCCAGACUCCUACGGGAGGCAGCAGUAGGGAAUCUUCCGCAAUGGGCGAAAGCCUGACGGAGCAACGCCGCGUGAGUGAUGAAGGUCUUCGGAUCGUAAAACUCUGUUAUUAGGGAAGAACAAAUGUGUAAGUAACUAUGCACGUCUUGACGGUACCUAAUCAGAAAGCCACGGCUAACUACGUG
rnacentral:rRNA from 1 species